rnacentral:rRNA from 1 species
CCUACGGGAGGCAGCAGUGGGGAAUUUUGGACAAUGGGCGAAAGCCUGAUCCAGCAAUGCCGCGUGUGUGAAGAAGGCCUUCGGGUUGUAAAGCACUUUAAGUUGGGAGAAAGGGCAGUAAGUUAAUACCUUGCUGUUUUGACGUUACCGACAGAAUAAGCACCGGCUAACUUCGUGCCAGCAGCCGCGGUAAUACGAAGGGUGCAAGCGUUAAUCGGAAUUACUGGGCGUAAAGCGCGCGUAGGUGGUUCGUUAAGUUGGAUGUGAAAGCCCCGGGCUCAACCUGGGAACUGCAUUUGUGACUGCAUGGCUAGAGUACGGUAGAGGGGGAUGGAAUUCCGCGUGUAGCAGUGAAAUGCGUAGAUAUGCAGAGGAACACCGAUGGCGAAGGCAGGUCUCUGGGCUGUUACUGACGCUGAGGAGCGAAAGCAUGGGGAGCGAACAGGAUUAGAUACCCUGGUAGUCCAUGCCGUAAACGUUGGGCACUAGGUGUGGGGGACAUUCCACGUUUUCCGCGCCGUAGCUAACGCAUUARGUGCCCCGCCYGGGGAGUACGGCCGCAAGGCUAAAACUCAAAUGAAUUGACGGGG